rnacentral:rRNA from 1 species
GUGAGGUAACGGCUCACCAAGGCUUCGACGGGUAGCUGGUCUGAGAGGACGAUCAGCCACACUGGAACUGAGACACGGUCCAGACUCCUACGGGAGGCAGCAGGAGGGAAUAUUGCGCAAUGGGCGAAAGCCUGACGCAGCAACGCCGCGUGAGGGAUGACUGCCUUCGGGUUGUAAACCUCUUUCAGUGGGGACGAAAUUGACGGUACCCACAGAAGAAGCACCGGCCAACUACGUGCCAGCAGCCGCGGUAAUACGUAGGGUGCAAGCAUUGUCCGGAUUUAUUGGGCGUAAAGAGCUCGUAGGCGGCUUAACAAGUCGGCCGUGAAAUACCGAGGCUCAACCUCGGGGAGUCGGUCGAAACUGUUAUAGCUAGAGUACGGUAGAGGAGAGUGGAAUUCUCGGUGUAGCGGUGGAAUGCGCAGAUAUCGAGAGGAACACCAGUAGCGAAGGCGGCUCUCUGGGCCGUUACUGACGCUGAGGAGCGAAAGCGUGGGGAGCAAACAGGAUUAGAUACCCUGGUAGUCCACGCUGUAAACGUUGGGAACUAGGUGUUGCGGUCUGAUCAAUGACUGCGGUGCCGAAGCUAACGCAUUAAGUU